UACCCGCAGCACAAGUGGUGGUCAUUAUUAUUGGGCCUAAAGCGUCCGUAGCUGGCUUGUUAGAUGCCUGGGUAAAUCGAUGCGCUCAACGUAUCGAACUCCGGGUAGACCGGCAAGCUUGGGACCGGGAGAGGCGUGAGCUACUCGGGGGGUAGGGGUAAAAUCCUGUAAUCCUCCGGGGAGGACCAGUGGCGAAGGCGUCACGCUAGAACGGCUCCGACAGUGAGGGACGAAGCCCUAGGGGCGCGGAAACCGGG
rnacentral:rRNA from 1 species